rnacentral:lncRNA from 1 species
AAAUCCCUUACACAAUCAUGGGAAUUUUACUCUGCAUUAUUUAUCUUAUUUUACACUUCAGGAAACACCAGGAGGUCACAGGACUUGUCCCAUCAUCCUCACAAGGAAAACUGUGAAGGUUGCAAUAUCAAUCAAGAGUCUAAACCAGACUGUCUCUGAGUGACCUGCAGUUUCAAGCAGGACACAAGAAAGGUGAAGAUGAAUUGGCAGAAAAAAAAAAUUACCCUAAUACCUGAAAAAUCUCUCGAAAAUGAGCAUAUUCCUGUAGAACAGCAGUGGAUACAUAAUGAUCAACAUUAUGGUGACCUAGUUUGA